UACGUAGGGGGCAAGCGUUGUCCGGAUUUAUUGGGCGUAAAGCGCGUGUAGGCGGCCAGGUAGGUCCGUUGUGAAAACUCGAGGCUCAACCUCGAGACGUCGGUUGAAACCACCUGGCUAGAGUCCGGAAGAGGAGAGUGGAAUUCCCGGUGUAGCGGUGAAAUGCGCAGAUAUCGGGAAGAACACCCGUGGCGAAGGCGGCUCUCUGGGAUGGUACUGACGCUGAGACGCGAAAGCGUGGGGAGCGAACAGG
rnacentral:rRNA from 1 species